CUGGGUUGAACCUUCGAGUAACAUAUGCUUGUCUCAAAGAUUAAGCCAUACACGUGUAAAUACAUGCAUGUACAGUGACACUACGAAUGACUCCAUGGAUUAGUGAUGAUUCCUUUGAUGGCUCCAUCUGUUAAUUGGAAAACUGUGGUAAAUGUACAGCAAAUACAUACGGACAAAUACUGACUUCCCGUGAUGGGUGCAUUUAACAGACCAAGACCAAUCCGGGCUCGCACUUCCGUGUUGGUGACUCUAGCUAAGCAUAGGCAGAUUGCAUGGCCACAUGACGGCAACAACACAUUCUGAUGUCUGCUUUAUCAACUUCCGAUGAUACUUCCUUUGCCUACUGUGGUGACAACAGGUAAUAGGGAAUCAAGAUUCAAUUCUAGAAACAGAGACUGUGAAACAACUACUACAUCGAAGGAAGACAGCAGGCAUGCAAAUUACCCACUCCUGACUCAUGGAGGUAGUGACAGAAAUGUACAAUACAGGACUCUUUCGAAGCCUUGUUAUUGGAAUGUGUACACUUUAAAUCCUUUAAUGAGGAUUCAUUGGAGGGAAAGUCUGGUGCACACUGCCAUGGUAAUUACAGCUCCAAUAGCAUUUGUUAAAGUUGCUGCACUUAAAAAGCUUGUAGUUGGAUCUUGUUAUCGAAUGGGUGGUCUGGUGCAAGGCGCGGUUAGGCCUGUCCCGGCCCCUGCCUCUCAAGCCCCUUUAAUACUCUUGAAUUAGUGUAUUAGGGGUCUGAAUCAUUUACUUUGAAAACAUUAGAGUGUUAGAAGCAGGCCGGUCACCUGAAUAUCUCAGCUAGCUAUGAUAGAAUAGGACUCCUAUUCCAUUUUGUUUGCUUUUGGAACUGGGGCUAUGAUUAAGAGCGACAGCCGGGGGCAUUCUUAUUGUGCUGCUUGAAGGAAUAUUCUUGGACCGUCAUACUUCCGAUCAUAAACAAUGCCAACAAUCGUUUCGGCUGUGUUAUUCUCAUGACUGGGAACCCAAAGUCUUUGGGUUCAUUGUGGACUAUGGUUGCAAAGCUGGAACUUAAAGGAAUUGAUGGAAGGCCACCACCAGGAGUGGAGCCUGUGGAUUAAUUUGACUCAACACAGAAAAGCUCACACGGCCAUGACAUGGAAAGGAUUGACAGAUUGAUAGUUCUUUCUCAAUUAUGUGGGUGGUGGUGCAUGGCCGAUCUUAGUUGGUGGAAAUACUCCAUGCUAACUAGUUACAUGAACUCCGGCAAUCAACUUCUUAGAGGGACAAAUGGUGUUCAGCCACAAGAGAUCAAGGAAUAACAUGGCUUUGAUGACCUUACAUGUCCAGGGCUGCAUGCGCUACAUUGAAUGGAUCAGCAUGUGUCUACCCUUCUAUGCCUUUCCAACCUUCAUAUCCCUUUUUUAAUACAAACCCAUACCCUAAAACCCCAACACUUAAUCUAUCCUAACCAUUAACCAAACCUCAACAUUUUUACACUAACCCUAACCUUUAUCCUUACCCUAACCCCUAUCAUAACCCUAA
rnacentral:rRNA from 1 species